rnacentral:tRNA from 1 species
GCCCUCGGUGGCUCAGAUGGAUAGAGCGUCUGCCAUGUGAGCAGGAGGUCCCGGGUUCGAGUCCCGGUCGGGACA